rnacentral:lncRNA from 1 species
ACAGUCUUGCUGUAUCCCCCAGGCUGGAGUACAGUGGUAUGAUCUUCGCUCACUGCAACCUCCGCCUCCUAGGUUCAAGUGAUUCUCCUGCCUCAGUCUCCCGAGUAGCUGGGAUUACAGGUGCCCGCAACCAUGCCCGGAUAAUUUUUGUAUUUUUAGUAGAGAUGGGGUUUCACUAUGUUGGCCAGGCUGGUCUCAAACUCCUGACCUCAGGUGAUCUGCCUGACUUGGCCUCCCAAAGUCCUAGGAUUACAGGCAUGAGCCACCUUGCCUGGCCUCUUCCUAAUGAUUUUUUAAAAUACAUCUUGUUUUCUCUAUCUUACUUUAUCAUAAAAAUAUAUGAUACAAAUAAAAUACAGAAUAUGUGUUAA